rnacentral:rRNA from 1 species
AGAGGUGGCAAGCGUUGUUCGGAAUUACUGGGCGUAAAGGGCGCGUAGGCGGUCCGAUAAGUCCCGUGUGAAAUCCCUCGGCUCAACUGAGGAAUGGCACGGGAAACUGACGGGCUUGAGUUCGGGAGAGGGAAGCGGAAUUCCGGGUGUAGCGGUGAAAUGCGUAGAUAUCCGGAGGAACACCGGUGGCGAAGGCGGCUUCCUGGACCGACACUGACGCUGAGGCGCGAAAGCUAGGGGAGCAAACGGGAUUAGAUACCCCGGUAGUCCUAGCUGUAAACGAUGAGCGCUGGGUGUAGGGGGUAUCUACCCCCCCUGUGCCGAAGCUAACGCAUUAAGCGCUCCGCCUGGGGAGUACGGUCGCAAGGCUGAA